UGCUUUCCGCCAACUUGCCAUCUGCUAGUGAAAAAACAAAUGCUGAAGAAAUCUGCGCUUUGAUUGUUUUUGCAUAUAUAAAUAAGCAUUAUCAUACUUUAUAGGUAUAUCAGAGCAUAACUAACUAAUUUUUCAAGAACUCUUCAGCCUUAAGAAACAGUUAUGAAGUACUUCGGGCUUUUGGUAAUCUUUGCCUUAAUUGUAUCUACGUAUGCUGGUACAGAUAUGGGACAGUUUUUUGAGCAUUUCAUUAAGGUAGGAUGUGGCAAGUAUGUUUCUUCAGGAUCGGAUACGUUGAUGAAAAUAUGCGGAUCAUGCUUGCGCUACUCUGUCGAUGUAAGGAAAAUUGAUCAAGGAUCAUGCCCAAAUCCUCGAACCUAAUUUCUGAGGAUUGAAACAGUCACAUGGAAGAAAUAGAAAUGGAUGAAUGAAUGCAAGGCAAUCUCUCUAAGCAGGAGAAACAUUCAGAAUAUGAAUGUAUUAAUUAAUCUGUAUUUAGUAAAACUAUGAUAAAUUGCUAAUAAUUCUAAGGAUAAUAAAAUUACGCAUUUUUCCUGUCAUCAUAA